rnacentral:rRNA from 1 species
UACAGAGGGGGCAAGCGUUGUCCGGAAUUACUGGGCGUACAGCGCGCGCAGGCGGCCCGCCACGUGCCGUGUGACAAGCCACUGCUCAACAGUGGAGGGCCAGGGUACACGAGCGGGCUGGAGGCAGGGAGAGGGAUGUGGAAUGCCCGGUGGAGCGGUGAAAUGCGUAGAGAUCGGGCGGAGCACCAGCGGCGAAGGCGGCAUCCUGGUCCUGUUCUGACGCUGAGGCGCGAGAGCGUGGGGAGCGAACUGG